AACGCACAUUGCGCCCGCCAGCACUCUGGCGGGCAUGCCUGUUCGAGCGUCAUUUCAACCCUCAGAACCCCUUUGGGGGAUCUGGCGUUGGGGAUCGGCAGUCCUGCCGGCCCCGAAAUAUAGUGGCGGUCUCUCUGUGACCUUCCCUGUGUAGUAGCGAUACCUCGCAGCGGGAUAGCAGUCUGGCCACGCCGUAAAACACCCAACUUCUCAAGGUUGACCUCGAAUCAGGUAGGAAUACCCGCUGAACUUAA
rnacentral:misc_RNA from 2 species